UACAGAGGUCCCAAGCGUUGUUCGGAUUCACUGGGCGUAAAGGGUGUGUAGGCGGUCGGGUAAGUCUGAUGUGAAAUCUCACAGCUUAACUGUGAAACUGCAUUGGAUACUAUUCGGCUAGAGAGUUGGAGGGGGGACUGGAAUUCUUGGUGUAGCAGUGAAAUGCGUAGAUAUCAAGAGGAACACCAGUGGCGAAGGCGAGUCCCUGGACAACUUCUGACGCUGAGGCACGAAAGCUAGGGGAGCAAACAGG
rnacentral:rRNA from 1 species